rnacentral:rRNA from 1 species
CGAACGGGUGAGUAAUGCGUGACCAACCUGCCCAUGCUCCAGAAUAGCUCUUGGAAACGGGUGGUAAUGCUGGAUGCUCCAACUUGACGCAUGUCUUGUUGGGAAAGUGUUUAGUGGCAUGGGAUGGGGUCGCGUCCUAUCAGCUUGUAGGCGGGGUAAUGGCCCACCUAGGCUUCGACGGGUAGCCGGCCUGAGAGGCGGACGGCCACAUUGGGACUGAGAUACGGCCCAGACUCCUACGGGAGGCAGCAGCU